UUGAUUAUGCUGGCUGCUUUACUGAGGCAGUGAGAAGUAUAGACAGAGUCCAUGGAGGGGAGGAUGGUUUCUGUGAGGACAAGAUUAUCGCCUGCAGAAGAAAAUCAAAAAUCUGCACACAUUUAAAAUCUGAAACAAAAAACAAAAAUUGUUCACCAGGUCAGACAGCAUAUGUGGAGGCAACAUCUCGUGGGAAUGGUGACCACCUGCGCAGAUGGAAAUGAACACCUUCGAAUGACUUACGGCGGGAUCUGUUGACGGUUCGACCAAAAUAGAUGACUGGUCAACAUCACACGGCAGCUCGUGAGACCUCGUCUGUCUUCACUCCUUGGCUGGGAUGCUGACAUCACCACUGCCCCGCAAUGUGACGAGCACGUCAUUGGCCAGCGAGCAGUUUGUGUUCCGGAGCUUGUGAAAAACAAGUUUUAAUCACUACUUAAUAAAACCAGCCCAAGACAGACAAGUUUAAUUGGUGUGAGGUCAGGAGCGUCGACAGUUCUAUAUUUUACACCCAGUGUUAGCAGCAUGUUGGAAACAACCAUGAUGAUGUAACUGGCUGUGUUAUUUGAGAUUGUUUUUGGGUCUGGAACAACGUGUGAUGUCUGCAAUGUGACAUCCGGAGACUGACGUCUGGUGUGUGACAUUUGUCACAUUGUUUAAUGGAUGCUUGCUGCCUUGGUCCUCUUCUGUUCCAGACUUUCAGCUAGCUCCAUGCUAAAGGUGUUAAAUCAACACAGAAUUAAUUGCGUUGGAUGGGAGUCUAUACCACACAUUCACCGCACUAUAUGCAUUAAAAAGCAUUUCUGUCAAAACCACAA